rnacentral:tRNA from 1 species
AGCCCCGUAGUGUAGUGGCCAAGCACGCGAGCCUCUGGAGCUUGAAACCCCAGUUCGAAUCUGGGCGGGGCUA